AAACAGUAAAUAAGGCGUAGUUUCCCACGAAACCCAAGAAGCUUGUUGACGAUAAUUCCAUUUAUUUAUCCACAACGCCACCAGGACUCUACGUGACCUAAAAUGCAGCAUCAGCACCACAGAAACUAUUUAAGCUUGACCAUGUCUUUAUUAUUAUUAUUAUUGUUGUUGUAUUGUAGUAAUAAUCAUAUCUUUUGUUUAACUCUUAAUUGUUUUAAAAUCCAAAAGUUAUAAUUGUAUUCUUUUUAUUUUAUAAUGUAAUUAAAGUUUUUUUUAAAAAAGUAAAUUCAGUGAUUGUGAUUUAACAAAUUGGCGCAAGUCGGUAGGAUCCAGAAGAAACACCUAGUUGGUGGUGGAUUCCUAUCCUUUAAAUGGUUAAAGACCCAGCAGCCCCAAGAAGGCAAUAAAAAUUGUGGUGCCUACAUCAGACGACUUAAAAGCGACAUCACUGCUAAUCUCUGGUGGACAUCAGCCAUUGGUCCUCAUAGUCUUAUCGGACUACGGAUUAGGAACACCUAGUGAAACCCCUGGUAGAUCUGGUAAAGAAAUCAUGGCUCCAAUGAUAAUUAAGAUUGUGAAACUACGGUAUCACAAUUGAAGAAAGAGGUAGCAGAGACAACAAUGCUUCUAAUCUAAAUAAAAACACAGCAAUUGCAGAAAUGGGUGACCUAUAACUACAUACAACACGUAUAUCCAGCAUAUCCACCUGUCCAUCACCCUGCAUCUGUUGACCAUUAAGAAACGACGUCCGAUCGCCAGUUUGCAAUCCACCACCAACACCACCACCACCACCGCUCCAGUCCGAAUCCAGGCCAUCUGUAAGAAGCAUGCGAGCACGCAGGUCAGUAAUGCCAGUGGUGCCAGUCCAGGGAGGGGGGUGUGGGGUAACCGGGGUGGCAACCCUGCGUUGUCCUGAGGAAGGAAACAGGAUCCAGGGAUCAACGAUAGGAUGAUAGUUUUCUUUUAAGAUGAUUAUGAAGGAAGGAACGGUGAAGAAGAAAAUGUGUCGUGAUGGUUUUAAUGCUCAUCGGUGUCGCCCCCAAACUGUUAAAGUGUGAACUGAGCGGGUUGGAGAAGGUUACUGCGUUGGUGUAACUGGUGGUGACUAUCGGUAACGGAUUGGAGAACUGGUUAAGGGCCGAGUACUGGUUCAAUG